UCCGCUAGAUCCAGCAAUAAGAAUCCCCCAUCUGGUCCCAGUGGAGUCAUCAUUACCACCACCUGGACUGAAAAACCUAGACGCUUCCGAUGGCAACCGGAUAACGUCUCCGACGAUGUCUCGGCUACCGGCGGAGAGACCGCAUAGAGCAACCAGGAGAAGAAUUACGCCGGUGGCGAGGCUCGUCAUUAUCGGUUUGCUAGUGGAGCGAGAGGUGCUUUGAUUGGUUGGUGAAACU
rnacentral:misc_RNA from 1 species